rnacentral:rRNA from 1 species
AAACCAGCACCUCAAGUGGUCAGGAUGAUUAUUGGGCCUAAAGCAUCCGUAGCCGGCUCUGUAAGUUUUCGGUUAAAUCUGUAUGCUCAACAUACAGGCCGCCGGGAAUACUGCAGAGCUAGGGAGUGGGAGAGGUAGACGGUACUCGGGAGGAAGUGGUAAAAUGCUUUGAUCUCUCGAUGACCACCUGUGGCGAAGGCGGUCUACCAGAACACGUCCGACGGUGAGGGAUGAAAGCUGGGGGAGCAAACCGGAUUAGAAACCCGAGUAGUCC